GAUAUUGCUCCUGAAAAGAUAUCUCCUUGGCUGCUUCGUAUUGAACUGAAUCGCGAGAUGAUGGUUGACAAGAAGUUGAGCAUGGCAGACAUUGCAGAGAAGAUCAAUCAUGAGUUUGAUGAUGAUUUGACAUGCAUCUUUAAUGAUGAUAAUGCAGACAAGCUCAUCCUCCGUAUUCGUAUCAUGAAUGAUGAUGCGCCUAAAGGUGAAUUACAAGACGAAUCUGCGGAGGAUGAUGUCUUCUUGAAAAAGAUCGAGAGCAACAUGUUGACCGAAAUGGCACUUCGGGGCAUUCCUGAUAUCAAUAAAGUUUUUAUCAAGUCAGGAAAGAUAAAUAGGUUUGAUGAAAAUGAAGGCUUCAAACCAGAUGUUGAGUGGAU
rnacentral:lncRNA from 1 species